rnacentral:lncRNA from 1 species
UAGGAGCCAAUCAACAAUUUCUUUUCCUCCCACUCUCCUUUUCCCCAUGCAUACCAUCCAUCCAAAAACAGCAGUGGCAAAGCUGAAGUUUUUAUACAUUCAACUCAUGAUUCAUAUAUGGCAUCAGUCCCAUCAGCUGGAACUAACCUAGAUAUAUGGUGCAAAUAUUACAUUUUCCAACAAAUAACAACAGCAAGAAAAAUGCCUCCUGCUGAUGCAAUGCAGUGCAUCUCAAUGGUUGUGGGGAUUGUGGCUCAACCUGAGUGUAGAGAGGUCUAGGAGGGGCACGCCCCCUGUGAACACUCACCACACAAGAAGCAGAAACUUGUGCACACGAAGGAGAUCUCAUUACGUAGCAUAAAGGAUGAGGCUUCUACCCCCAUGGUGUUGUGUAGAAUGUGAUGAAGCAAACAGGAGAGAGGGAAGAAGACCAUAUUAGGUUGGUUUGAAUACCUGAGUUCUGUACUGUUUUGUUUUGCUUUGCUUUGUCCUGUCUAGCUACAGUUCUCCUUCUCAAAGGAAAAAAAAUAAUAAUCUCAUGAGAUAAACUCAUAACUUCUUUGUUAAAGAUAAUUGGCAAAUGGACUUUUGUUUUAACUUUGAUAUUGUUUUUUUAUGCUACUUUUUUCCUUUUCUUUUCUUUAUUGUGGUGUUCAAAUUCCUUCACAUCUGAUUGUCCACAGGGACACACUACAUGAGAAGCUGCAGAGAGUGAUGGUGCUUGUUCGGGGUCAAGGGCAAUAUAGUACUCCUUCUUCAUCCAUAACAAUUCUCCUGGAGCAGACACCUAACACCCCAAAGGCACAUUGAUUUGUCAAAAUAGAUAUCCAGUUUCUUUUAGCACUCAGUAAAAGAGAGAUCUCAGAAAACUUAGUGUUUUCAGAAAAACGGUUGCAGGCUCCAAAUACAGCCGAACCUCUUGAUUACAUUUGGAAUAAGUCCAAACAUAAUGGUCAUUUCUAUUUUUCUAACCUUGUUAUCCAUGUGGUCUGAAAUAUGUCAUAUGUGAAAGUGUUUUUCUUCACUGGGAAAAGAAGAGUUAAAGGGGCCCCCGUUAUUGAAAUGUCACCUUGUUGUUUCCAAUAUAUUAAACAAGGGACAAAUGUGAGAAAUGUAAGAUAAAGUGAAUUUCACAGGAAGCCAUGCCUUGUGCUCAUUGUCUCAGUUUGAAUCCAGGCAGUGCAUUGUGUUUCGUGUGCUCCAAAAUGAAACUUCUUUCAGUAGGAAUAUUUAGUAUGCCCAGCACCCCUUGCUGCUGUGUUUCUAUUGUCAAUCAGGAAAUAACACGUUACCAAAAUUUAGCUUUCUGUCACUGUCUAAAAAGAAUAUUUACCAAGAUAAGAUGGAAUGUGCAUAUUACAUAAUAUAAAUUUGAAGGAUCUGUAAAAUUCAGUAUACAUGUCAAGUAUCUGAAAAGUUAUGGAUUCCAAUGGAGCUAUUAUUUACACAAACCAGAGCAUAAGAAUUAUGCAAAUAAUUUCACCAUUUUACCUCUUUGAACAGCAUCUCUAGUAUAGGGAACAUCUUUUGUUUUUAGAACUUAGUGUUACACAUGUGUAUGACUUAUUAAUUCAAGCACUUGAUUCUUUUUUAGUACUUAUCUUCUUCAUUAAGCAUUGGCAACAGAGGAAGAUGUUUAAAAGAUGGAACCUGCUCCUGGGGAGCUUUACAAUGUACAUAAAUAUCUAAUUAACACCUUACUUAGAUUAUUUGAUAUCUAUUCUACUCAUACAUGGAAGGAACAAGGUACCCUAGAAAAUAUAUAGAGAUGAGAUAUCUUAGGCAUAAAUGGUUUUCCAACCAAAGUUUUCCUUCUUUCCAUUCCCCCCCUCCCACCCUGAUGCCCUGGCGCUAAACGUAUCCCACAAAACAUUGUACAAUCAGUAUUUGGUAAAAGUAUACAAUUCCAAAAGGAAAUGCUGAUGUCAAAGUCAGCUGAAAGAAUGCAAAGCUUGCUUGACAGGGUCCCGGAUUCUAUUACAGCCUUGUACAGAAUCCCAAGUGAAGACAGAGAGGAGAGGCAUACAGACAGUUGUUAUGGAAAGAUCCUAUGAUUUUCAAGUGAUGUUUCUUUAGCUAUUAUUCCCUAAUGUAUGAGGCUGGAAUACAUGAAAAUUGUAUGUGUGUGUUUGUGUGUAUGUUUUAUAUAUAUAUAAUUAUGCUCUUAAUUCCACCAGCUGGAGGUGUAAGCCUCCCCCAAUCAUAUGACAGUAUGAGCAAGACAGAUCUGUUUGUUACCACUAAUAAUUUGUUUUUAAUUUAAAAGUGUGAGUUUUCUCCAUGGAGGCAUAUUAUAAUACUAAUCACUUAUAAACCACAAUUCCCCUAAAACCAAACUUUUAGAAAUAGUUUUGGUAAGAGUCUAUUACCUUUAAUUGGGGGAACAAACAAAAAAUAAGAGAAACCUUACAUUUCAAGUAGAAAAAUACUUUUAAAAUGCUAUGAAGUGUUAUAAUAAUUUCUUGGAUAUGACAUCUUAUUCUAUUAUAUGAAGAUGAUAAUCCUAAAAAUAGAAAUUGCCUCUACUGGGUCAGGAGUUCUCUGGAACCUCCUGUGUAUAUAAGUUGGCAGCAGUUGUGAGAACUUUUUACUACCACCACCAAUGCAGCACACUUGCUUGGAGGGCAAUGAGGAAAUUAAAAAGAGAUAAGUGAUCCCUUGGCAGGCUUCUAAAUCUUUUUCUCUUUUAAUUCAUGACCAUAUGUCCAUUAGCGGUGAGUAUAUUUGCGUGCAAGUCGAUAAGCCAGACCUUCUAUCUGAUAUUUGACAAAUAUCUAUGAUAUUUGUCAGCCAUGUGUCAAACCAUGUGUCCAAAAUUUGGGUUCAAAAAAUUUCUCAAUUGCCACAAAUGUUUUCCCAGUCAAGAUGAAACACUUUCAAAUGAAAGUAGUUAGAACUUUACAUAACAAAUGUGGUGCUUUAUUAUUAUUAUUAUUAUUAUUAUUAUUAUUAUUAUGUACUUCAGUGUUCAUUAUUAAAACUACUGCAAUACUAUAUCAUAAAAAUCGGGGAUGGAUGUUCUAGCCAUCAUAAGGUCCAAAAGAAAAAAAUGUUAUUUUCCUGUUAGUGACAUGUAGUCCCUUUGUUCUAGUAGAAAAAAAAGGUGCCUAGAGGUAGUAUAUAGAGUAAAUAUUGUUCCAUUAGCCUACUUCCUGCAGCUUCCAAUUUAUCUAAGGAAAUGUCUAUAACACUUUUGUUAAACGUCUUUGUUCUAGUCAAUAGCAGGAGAAGUCCACAUUACUGGGCUGAUUUUGCUUACAUCAACAAGAAAAAUGUCACGUGAUACUCAGGCCGAGCUUUCUCUUCCAUCACACCACCUUCAAGGAAUGUCAAUAAACUCACUUUGGUAUGGCA